rnacentral:rRNA from 1 species
AAUGAACGCUGGCGGCGCGCCUAAUACAUGCAAGUCGAGCGAGAAGACGUAGCAAUACGUUUGUAAAGCGGCGAACGGGUGAGGAAUACAUGGGUAACCUACCCUAGAGUGGGGAAUAACUAGCCGAAAGGUUAGCUAAUACCGCGUACGCUCCUUGGACUUCGGUUCAGGGAGGAAAGCGAUGCCGAGGGUAUCGCGCUCUUGGAUGGGGCUCAUGUCCUAUCAGCUUGUUGGNGAGGUAACGGCUCACCAAGGCUUCGACGGGUAGCUGGUCUGAGGAGGACGAUCAGCCACACUGGCACUGCGACACGGGCCAGACUCCUACGGGAGGCAGCAGUAAGGAAUAUUGCGCAAUGGGCGAAAGCCUGACGCAGCGACGCCGCGGUGGGGGAG